UACGUAGGGGGCUAGCGUUGUCCGGAAUUAUUGGGCGUAAAGAGCGUGUAGGCGGCUUUACAGGUCCGUUGUGAAAACUCGAGGCUCAACCUCGAGACGCCGGUGGAAACCGUAAGGCUAGAGUCCGGAAGAGGAGAGUGGAAUUCCUGGUGUAGCGGUGAAAUGCGCAGAUAUCAGGAAGAACACCCGUGGCGAAGGCGGCUCUCUGGGACGGUACUGACGCUGAGACGCGAAAGCGUGGGGAGCGAACAGG
rnacentral:rRNA from 1 species